AACGAACGCUGGCGGCAUGCCUAACACAUGCAAGUCGAACGAGAUCUUCGGGUCUAGUGGCGCACGGGUGCGUAACGCGCGGGAAUCUGCCCUUUGGUUCGGAAUCACAGUUGGAAACGACUGCUAAUACCGGAUGAUGACGAAACUCCAAAGAUUUAUCGCCAGAGGAUGAGCCCGCGUACGAUUAGCAAGUUGGUGUGGUAGAGGCGCACCAAGGCGACGAUCCUUAGCUGGUCUGAGAGGAUGAUCCGCCACACUGGGCCUGAGACACGGCCCAGACUCAUACGGGAGGCAGCAGUGGGGAAUAUUUGACAAUGGGCGAAAGCCUGAUCCAGCAAUGCCGCGUGAGUGAUGAAGGCCUUAGGGUUGUAAAGCUCUUUUACCCGGGAUGAUAAUGACAGUACCGGGAGAAUAAGCUCCGGCUAACUCCGUGCCAGCCGCCGCAGUAA
rnacentral:rRNA from 1 species